rnacentral:rRNA from 1 species
GACGUAGGGCGCGAGCGUUGUCCGGAUUUAUUGGGCGUAAAGAGCUCGUAGGUGGUUUGUCGCGUUGUUCGUGAAAACUCACAGCUUAACUGUGGGCGUGCGGGCGAUACGGGCAGACUGGAGUACUGCAGGGGAGACUGGAAUUCCUGGUGUAGCGGUGGAAUGCGCAGAUAUCAGGAGGAACACCGGUGGCGAAGGCGGGACUCUGGGCCGAUACUGACGCUGAGGAGCGAAAGCGUGGGGAGCAAACAGG